rnacentral:rRNA from 1 species
AUUGAACGCUGGCGGCAGGCUUAACACAUGCAAGUCGAGCGGGGUGAUGGUGCUUGCACUAUCACUUAGCGGCGGACGGGUGAGUAAUGCUUAGGAAUCUGCCUAUUAGUUGGGGACAACAUCUCGAAAGGGAUGCUAAUACCGCAUACGUCCUCCGGGAGAAAGCAGGGGAUCACUUGUGACCUUGCGCUAAUAGAUGAGCCUAGGUCGGAUUAGCUAGUUGGUGGGGUAAAGGCCUACCAAGGCGACGAUCUGUAGCGGGUCUGAGAGGAUGAUCCGCCACACUGGGACUGAGACACGGCCCAGACUCCUACGGGAGGCAGCAGUGGGGAAUAUUGGACAAUGGGGGGAACCCUGAUCCAGCCAUGCCGCGUGUGUGAAGAAGGCCUUAUGGUUGUAAAGCACUUUAAGCGAGGAGGAGGCUCUUUUGGUUAAUACCCAAGAUGAGUGGACGUUACUCGCAGAAUAAGCACCGGCUAACUCUGUGCCAGCCGCCGCCGUAA